UACAGAGACUGCAAGCGUUAUUCGGAUUCACUGGGCGUAAAGGGUGCGCAGGCGGCCGUGUGUGUCAGGUGUGAAAGCCCGGAGCUUAACUCCGGAAUUGCGCCUGAUACUACAUGGCUAGAGCAUUGGAGAGGGUAGCGGAAUUCACGGUGUAGCAGUGAAAUGCGUAGAUAUCGGAAGGAACACCAGUGGCGAAAGCGGCUUCCUGGUCCAGCACCGACGUUCAGGCACGAAAGCGUGGGGAGCAAACAGG
rnacentral:rRNA from 1 species